GUCCACGCCCUAAACGAUGGAUACUAGGCGUGAGGGGUAUCGACCCCCCUCGUGCCGCAGCUAACGCACUAAGUAUCCCGCCUGGGGAGUACGGCCGCAAGGUUGAAACUCAAAUGAAUUGACGGGGACCCCGCACAAGCGGUGGAGCAUGUGGAUUAAUUCGAUACUAACCGAAGAACCUUACCCAGGCUUGACAUCGAUGGAAAGGCGCCGAAAGGCGUCCCUCCCUCUCAAGGGGACCAGAAGACACUUGUUGCAUGGCUGUCGU
rnacentral:rRNA from 1 species